CUCUAUUAGACAUUAUUAAUAGUAAAAUCUGCUCAAUGAAUAUUAAAUAGCCGCAAUACGUGCUAAGGUAGCAUAAUAAUUUGUUUUCUAAUUAAAAACUAGAACAAAUGAUUCAACAUUUUAAUUUAUAUUUUAAAUAUAAAUAUUUAAAUUCUUUUAAAUGUAAAAAAACAUUUAUUAAAAAAAAAGACGACAAGACCCUAUUGAACUUUACUAAUGUUUAACUGGGGAAGUUAAUUAAUUUUAAUUUUAAUUAAAAUUGAUUUUAAUUUACUUAUUUCAAAUAAUUUUAAAAAAAGUUACCAUAGGGAUAACAGCGUAAUAAUAUUUUUAAGCUCUUAUUGAAAAUAAAGAUUUCGACCUCGAUGUUGAUUUAAUUUCCUAAUAUUAACGCAACAGUUAAUUAAGUAAGUCUGUUCGACUUAUAAAAAUU
rnacentral:rRNA from 1 species